rnacentral:tRNA from 1 species
GGGGAUAUGGCUUCAUGGUAGAGUGCUUACCUAGCAUGUGUGAGGCCCAGGGUUCAAUUCCCCAUACUCUCA